CCUACGGGGGGCUGCAGUGGGGAAUAUUGGACAAUGGGGGCAACCCUGAUCCAGCCAUGCCGCGUGUGUGAAGAAGGCCCUCGGGUUGUAAAGCACUUUCAGUGAGGAAGAACGCCUGGUGGUUAAUACCCAUCAGGAAAGACAUCACUCACAGAAGAAGCACCGGCUAACUCCGUGCCAGCAGCCGCGGUAAUACGGAGGGUGCGAGCGUUAAUCGGAAUUACUGGUCGUAAAGCGCGCGUAGGUGGCUUGAUAAGCCGGUUGUGAAAGCCCCGGGCUCAACCUGGGAACGGCAUCCGGAACUGUCAAGCUAGAGUGCAGGAGAGGAAGGUAGAAUUCCCGGUGUAGCGGUGAAAUGCGUAGAGAUCGGGAGGAAUACCAGUGGCGAAGGCGGCCUUCUGGACUGACACUGACACUGAGGUGCGAAAGCGUGGGUAGCAAACAGGAUUAGAUACCCUGGUAGUC
rnacentral:rRNA from 1 species